UGGGGAAUAUUGCACAAUGGGCGCAAGCCUGAUGCAGCCAUGCCGCGUGUGUGAAGAAGGCCUUCGGGUCGUAAAGCACUUUCAGCGGGGAGGAAGGCGAUAAGGUUAAUAACCUUGUCGAUUGACGUUACCCGCAGAAGAAGCACCGGCUAACUCCGUGCCAGCAGCCGCGGUAAUACGGAGGGUGCAAGCGUUAAUCGGAAUUACUGGGCGUAAAGCGCACGCAGGCGGUCUGUCAAGUCGGAUGUGAAAUCCCCGGGCUCAACCUGGGAACUGCAUUCGAAACUGGCAGGCUAGAGUCUUGUAGAGGGGGGUAGAAUUCCAGGUGUAGCGGUGAAAUGCGUAGAGAUCUGGAGGAAUACCGGUGGCGAAGGCGGCCCCCUGGACAAAGACUGACGCUCAGGUGCGAAAGCGUGGGGAGCAAACAGG
rnacentral:rRNA from 1 species